rnacentral:lncRNA from 1 species
GCGCGAAAGUACGGGAAACAAUUACAUAAGAUAACGUUAUAAAGUCUCUUGGCCUAUAUUCACGACAUUCUGGGGGCCUCAAACUUCAUAAGAAAUAAAAUUAUUUUAAAUGAUAAAUAAUCAAAACUUUAAAAGAUCUAUAAAUGGAUCACAUUGAAAGUUUUUUUUGUAAUUUCACUUUACGUUAACUGUCCUUCACAAAAAUCCUUUAACAGUUACUAUAGUUCUAAUGGAUAUAACUUCACAAUUGGUUGUGUG